CCUAUAUAUACAGUAGACGAGGAGGAAGGAAUCACUGAAGCCACAACAGUUUCACCGUCAACAACAUGUCUUCUGUCAGCCUCAGUCUUCUCCUCCUCUCAUUGGCGGUGAGGGGGAGCGUACAGCUGUGUGCCCCAGACUGUUCAGGUGUUGAUCCAGGGACCAAAGUGAGGGACCCCACCGACUGCACCAAGUACUACGAGUGUAUUUACGUCUCCGGAGAGAUUGAGCCGUCAGCUGAACCAGUGUCGUGUCCUGACGGAAACUAAUA